rnacentral:rRNA from 1 species
GUGCCAGCCGCCGCGGUAAUACGGAGGGGGUUAGCGUUGUUCGGAAUUACCGGGCGUAAAGCGCGCGUAGGCGGAUUGGAAAGUAUGGGGUGAAAUCCCGGGGCUCAACCCCGGAACUGCCCUUGAUACUGGGUGUCUUGAGUUCGAGAGAGGUGAGUGGAAUUCCGAGUGUAGAGGUGAAAUUCGUAGAUAUUCGGAGGAACACCAGUGGCGAAGGCGGCUCACUGGCUCGAUACUGACGCUGAGGUGCGAAAGUGUGGGGAGCAAACAGGAUUAGAUACCCCUGUAGUCC